GGCAAUUAAUCAUGUGGCUUAGCUGGUUAAAGCACCUGUCUUGUAAACAGGAGAUCCUGAGUUCAAAUCUCAGCGGUGCCU